rnacentral:rRNA from 1 species
UGAAUCAAAUAGGUGUACGUGGGGAACCGCCUGAACUGAAACAUCUAAGUAGGGCGAGGAAAAGACAUCAACCGAGAUUCCGUAAGUAGUGGCGAGCGAACACGGAGUAGGCCAAACCGGAGGAUUUAUUCUCCGGGGUUAGGACUUGCAUCACGAUCAGAAGAAUCUAACAGAACGGCAUGGGAAGGCCGGCCACAGAGGGUGAGAGCCCCGUACGUGAAAGAGGAAGCUGACAGCGAGUAUCCAGAGUACCGCGGGACACGUGAAACCCCGCGGGAAAACGGGUGGACCACCAUCCAAGCCUAAAUACUACCUGAUGACCGAUAGAGGAGCAGUACCGUGAGGGAAAGGUGAAAAGGACCCCGGGAGGGGAGUGAAAGAGAACCUGAAACCUUGUGCUUACAAGCAGUCAGAGCACGUUAAAGUGUGAUGGCGUACUUUUUGUAGAACGGUCCGGCGAGUUAUAGUAACGAGCAAGCUUAAGGUAUUGAGUACCGGAGGCGAAGCGAGAGCGAGUCUGAAUAGGGCGUAAAGUUCGUUGCCAUAGACCCGAAACCGGGUGACCUAUCCAUGAGCAGGCUGAAGUGAGAGUAAAAUCUCAUGGAGGGCCGAACCGACCCCCGUUGCAAUGGUGGCGGAUGACUUGUGGAUAGCGGAGAAAUUCCAAUCGAACUCGGAGAUAGCUGGUUCUCCCCGAAAUAGCUUUAGGGCUAGCGUUAUGUUAGAUUACCGGAGGUAAAGCACUGAAUGGUGGCGGGGCCGAUAAGGUUACCAAGACCUAUCAAACUCUGAAUGCCGGAUAAUUGAUGCAUAGCAGUCAGACAGCGUGAGAUAAGUUUCGUUGUCAAAAGGGAAACAGCCCAGACCCACAGCUAAGGUCCCAAAUUCAUGCUAAGUGGAAAACGAUGUGGAAUUGCGAAAACAACCAGGAUGUUGGCUUAGAAGCAGCCACUCAUUAAAAGAGUGCGUAAUAGCUCACUGGUCGAGUGACUCUGCGCGGAAAAUAUAACGGGGCUAAGUAUGCAACCGAAGCUUGGGAUUGUCUAAAGACAGUGGUAGGGGAGCGUCGUGUAUGGGGUGAAGUCGCAUCGGAAGGAGCGGUGGACUGUACACGAGUGAGAAUGCCGGAAUGAGUAGCGAGAAUUAUGUGGGAAUCAUAAUGGCCGAAAAUCUAAGGUUUCUUGGGGAAGGUUCGUCCGCCCAAGGUAAGCCGGGAGCUAAGGCGAGGCCGCAAGGCGUAGUCGAUGCACAUACGGUAGAAAUUCCGUAGCCACCGAACCUUAAACCGGAAGGACACUUUCAGAUAGCAGAACCCAGCCGUUGGUAGAGCUGGGCGAAAGGGACUGAAAUAUAGUAGGGAAGUCUGCGAUGCUGAGAGGCGAGAAAAGCUCCGGUGUAUGCUAAGGUGCCCGUACCGCAAACCGACACAGGUAGAUGAGGAGAGAAUCCUAAGGCCAACGGGAGAAGGGUUGUUAAGGAACUCGGCAAAUUGACCCCGUAACUUCGGAAGAAGGGGAGCCCCGAAAGGGGCCGCAGUGAAUAGGCCCAAGCAACUGUUUACCAAAAACACAGGUUUAUGCUAAAUCGAAAGAUGACGUAUAUGAGCUGACGCCUGCCCGGUGCCGGAAGGUUAAGAGGAGAUGUCAACCUUAAGGUGAAGCAUUGAAUUGAAGCCCCGGUAAACGGCGGCCGUAACUAUAACGGUCCUAAGGUAGCGAAAUUCCUUGUCAGGUAAG